GUAAUAAAAGAAGUGUACCUAAAUGAGCAGGCAUUCGUUGGUUGGUUUCUAGCCGAGUUCUAACACAGUAUCCAUUUUCUUAUAGAUACAUAAAUGUACCCAAGUAACCAUCCAGCACUAAAAGAAAUCACAAAUGAGCUGCUAAACAGCAUUCACCAGCAAAUCAGUCAUAAAACAGCUAAGGUGAUAGCAAAUUAGCUUUAAAACAACUGCUCUGGUAAUAGCCGGAAUAGUGUUGAUUUGAUGCUGCUACUAGCAACACUGCAACACAAUAUUUCAUCAAACUGGCAACACGAUUUUGUUCCGUGUAAGAGCGAAAGAGAGAGCACCAACAAACAAAACCAAAAAUAUUGCUUACUCUCUCAUACUUUAAACCAAAACAAAUCGUGCGGGAGAAAAAUGCAGUCAGCAUCAUGUUGUGACCUCCAGCAGCUGACUUACGGAUACGGAGGAAUUGUGGCAAAUUUCGUGAAACCAGGAAUAUCCGGCUUCGGGGCAUUUCCCAGUUGUCCAGGAUAGUAAUGAUUGAAGGGAACAUCCCGAGGAACGGCGAGAUGCGGUGGUUCGGUGCGGUGAAAAAGUGAAAUUCAACGGUUUAGGCAAUUAUGGCACAGUUAUUUGGUUAUGGAGGCUGUUAAAUGAUUGUAUUUAGAUUAUAAUAAAUUAUCCAGAAUCAACAGAAAAA
rnacentral:lncRNA from 1 species